UACGGGGGGGGCAAGCGUUGUUCGGAAUUACUGGGCGUAAAGGGCUCGUAGGCGGCCAACUAAGUCAGACGUGAAAUCCCUCGGCUUAACCGGGGAACUGCGUCUGAUACUGGGUGGCUUGAGUUUGGGAGAGGGAUGCGGAAUUCCAGGUGUAGCGGUGAAAUGCGUAGAUAUCUGGAGGAACACCGGUGGCGAAGGCGGCAUCCUGGACCAACACUGACGCUGAGGAGCGAAAGCCAGGGGAGCAAACGGG
rnacentral:rRNA from 1 species